ensembl:lncRNA
CCCCCCUUUACUUCAAAUCACAGUUUGUACUUCCACACUUGCACAGUCUGCAUGUGUAGGUGCCACGGGAAGUGAAAACAGAAAACAGACAUUUCGUGAAAUCAUCAAAAUAAUCCAAAGAUGUGCAUUGUGGGUUUCUCUUUGACACAUAAAUGAUGUUGUCAUUCUAGCAACAGCCCAUGAACAUGACAUGAAUGUAUUGCGCCCAAAGGAGUGAAAGAAAGCCAGCGAAACCUGUUAAUGUUUUGGCAACCUACAAGACUGUGUUGCUGGGGUUACAAACCAACCUCACAGUUUAUGUUUCUCUCAGCAAAGCAAAACAUUGCUCCAAAAUACCCCACACCACUUUGCUAUUCUUCAAAGACGAAACAACACCAGAGACGUAUUGGCUGCCACGGCAACACAUAUCCUUGUAGAGAAAAUAUAGAUGUGCACCAGGAUAUGCUGUUUAAAAAGCACUGAAGCCAAAGAUAUUGACGCCAGUGUCCUUAGCCCAGUGGCCUUAGCCCAGUAGCCUUAGCCCAGUGGCCUUAGCCCUGUCAUAGUGAUUUUCAGAGGCAUCCACCACCCUUGUCAAUUGAGCAGAAAUGAUCAGCCUGGAGAGGCAUGCUAGCUGAUUAAAACCAAUUGUCAGGGAAGGGAAGGACAAGGCAACCUCUUUACUGCAUGAUGAACUAACUACAUGGAAGCAGACAAUCUCCCCCCUCAGGGAAAUCACUCCAGGUCUUAAUUAAAGCAUUGUGUUUUCGCUCAGCUUUCUGUAUUAUCACCACGUGUACGUACUUGAGAGAAGAAUAAGGACGUUACCAGGAAACCAAGACAUCAGAUGAAGAGAGAUGACAGCAGAGGACCGGCCCUGUUGUCUGUCAAUGUAGGAUAAUAGAGAGGUGAAAUGUUUAGUACACAUUCAGUAACUAAAACUGAAUAAUGUUCUCCAAAUGUGAUAAUUGUGUCACUGCUCACUCCCUCCUACUAGAAUAUGUUCACAGGUUGUAACAAUUGAUCCUCCGUCACAAUAGAAUAUGUUCACAGAUUGUAAC